rnacentral:tRNA from 1 species
GGAGGGGUGGCCGAGUUGGUCGAAGGCGCUCGACUGGAAAUCGAGUACACGGCAAAACCGUGUCGCGGGUUCGAAUCCCGCCUCCUCCGCCA